GCUUGCUUCCGCCGACGACCGGCGCACGGGUGCGUAACGCGUAUACAAUCUACCUUGUACUGGGGUAUAGCCUUUAGAAAUGAAGAUUAAUCCCCCAUAGUCUCUUAGAGUGGCAUCACUUCUAGAGUAAAGGUUACGGUAUAAGAUGAGUAUGCGUUCUAUUAGUUUGUUGGUGUGGUAACGGCACACCAAGACUACGAUAGAUAGGGGCCCUGAGAGGGGGAUCCCCCACACUGGUACUGAGACACGGACCAGACUCCUACGGGAGGCAGCAGUGAGGAAUAUUGGACAAUGGAGGCAACUCUGAUCCAGCCAUGCCGCGUGCAGGAAGACUGCCCUAUGGGUUGUAAACUGCUUUUAUACAGGAAGAAACACCUCUACGUGUAGAGGCUUGACGGUACUGUAAGAAUAAGGAUCGGCUAACUCCGUGCCAGCAGCCGCGGUAAUACGGAGGAUCCAAGCGUUAUCCGGAAUCAUUGGGUUUAAAGGGUCCGUAGGUGGAUAAUUAAGUCAGAGGUGAAAUCUUGCAGCUCAACUGUAAAAUUGCCUUUGAAACUGGUUAUCUUGAGUUAUUAUGAAGUAGUUAGAAUAUGUAGUGUAGCGGUGAAAUGCAUAGAUAUUACAUAGAAUACCAAUUGCGAAGGCAGAUUACUAAUAAUCAACUGACACUGAUGGACGAAAGCGUGGGUAGCGAACAGGAUUAGAUACCCUGGUAGUCCACGCCGUAAACGAUGGUUACUAGCUGUUUGGACUUCGGUCUGAGUGGCUAAGCGAAAGUGAUAAGU
rnacentral:rRNA from 2 species